GACACGGCCCAAACUCCUACGGGAGGCAGCAGUAGGGAAUUUUCGUCAAUGGGGGGAACCCUGAACGAGCAAUGCCGCGUGAGUGAGGAAGGUCUUCGGAUCGUAAAGCUCUGUUGUAAGAGAAAAACGGCACUCAUAGGGAAUGAUGAGUGAGUGAUGGUAUCUUACCAGAAAGUCACGGCUAACUACGUGCCAGCAGCCGCGGUAAUACGUAGGUGGCGAGCGUUAUCCGGAAUGAUUGGGCGUAAAGGGUGCGUAGGUGGCAGAUCAAGUCUGGAGUAAAAGGUAUGGGCUCAACCCGUACUGGCUCUGGAAACUGAUCAGCUAGAGAACAGAAGAGGACGGCGGAACUCCAUGUGUAGCGGUAAAAUGCGUAGAUAUAUGGAAGAACACCGGUGGCGAAGGCGGCCGUCUGGUCUGGAUUCUGACACUGAAGCACGAAAGCGUGGGGAGCAAAUAGGAUUAGAUACCCUAGUAGUCCACGCCGUAAACGAUGAGAACUAGGUGUUGGGGGAAUAACUCAGUGCCGCAGUUAACGCAGUAAGUUCUCCGCCUGGGGAGUAUGCACGCAAGUGUGAAACUCAAAGGAAUUGACGGGGGCCCGCACAAGCGGUGGAGUAUGUGGUUUAAUUCGAAGCAACGCGAAGAACCUUACCAGGCCUUGACAUCCCUUGCAGAGGUAUAGAGAUAUAUCCGAGGUUAUCAAGGAGACAGGUGGUGCAUGGUUGUCGUCAGCUCCGGUCGUGAGAUGUUGGGUUAAGUCCCGCAACGAGCGCAACCCUUGUGAUAUGUUACUAACAUUGAGUUGAGGACUCAUAUCAGACUGCCGGUGAUAAACCGGAGGAAGGUGGGGAUGACGUCAAAUCAUCAUGCCCCUUAUGGCCUGGGCUACACACGUACUACAAUGGCGUCUACAAAGAGCGGCAAGCCUGUGAAGGCAAGCGAAUCUCAUAAAGGACGUCUCAGUUCGGAUUGAAGUCUGCAACCCGACUUCAUGAAGCUGGAAUCGCUAGUAAUCGCGAAUCAGCAUGUCGCGGUGAAUACGUUCUCGGGCCUUGUACACACCGCCCGUCAAACCAUGGGAGUUGGUAAUGCCCGAAGCCGGUGGCAUAACCCUUCGGGGAGUGAGCCGUCGAAGGCAGGACCGAUGACUGGGGUUAAGUCGUAACAAGGUAUCCCUACGGG
rnacentral:rRNA from 1 species